rnacentral:lncRNA from 1 species
UGUUAUGUGCCCGGCGCCAGCCCUGGGUGCCAUGGGAACACUGAAGAGAGACUGACAUGGAUGCUGCCGCCCUCGGGUACCUCCCAGGCUGCUGGAGGAGACAAGCCACGGACACAGCCACUAGUGCCACCUACAAAGUAACGAGUGCCUGCGGACUAGAUCGUGACACUACACCCUGCCACCAGCAGCCUGGCAGCCUCUUCCAGUGACAUUUUGGACCGUAAGUGGAUCAAGACGCAGCCUUGUCAGCCCCCACAUCUCAGGAUGCUCCAGGGAUCUUGGAAAUAUCUCAAAUAUAAACCAGAAUAUCUUAAACUUGAGGAUGUGUUGAGCAGAUAUGUGACUGCAACGCCAGUGAUCCAGUAGAUAAAAUGGGAAAGCAGAGUCCAUCCCCUAGAGCUUGGGAG